AGUCGAACGGAAAGGCUAGCUUGCUGGGUACUCGAGUGGCGAACGGGUGAGUAACACGUGGGUGAUCUGCCCUGCACUUUGGGAUAACCCUGUGAAACUGGGUCUAAUACCGGAUAUGACCAUGGGAUGCAUGUCUUGUGGUGGAAAGCUUUUGCGGUGUGGGAUGGGCCCGCGGCCUAUCAGCUUGUUGGUGUGGUAAUGGCCUACCAAGGCGACGACGGGUAGCCGACCUGAGAGGGUGAUCGGCCACACUGGGACAGAGACACGGCCCAGACUCCUACGGGAGGCAGCAGUGGGGAAUAUUGCACAAUGGGCGCAAGCCUGAUGCAGCGACGCCGCGUGGGGGAUGACGGCCUUCGGGUUGUAAACCUCUUUCGCCAGGGACGAAGCUUUCGGGUGACGGUACCUGGAGAAGAAGCACCGGCCAACUACGUGCCAGCAGCCGCGGUAAUACGUAGGGUGCGAGCGUUGUCCGGAAUUACUGGGCGUAAAGAGCUCGUAGGCGGUUUGUCGCGUCGUCUGUGAAAUUCUGCAACUCAAUUGUAGGCGUGCAGGCGAUACGGGCAGACUUGAGUACUACAGGGGAGACUGGAAUUCCUGGUGUAGCGGUGAAAUGCGCAGAUAUCAGGAGGAACACUCGGUGGCGAAGGCGGGUCUCUGGGUAGUAACUGACGCUGAGGAGCGAAAGCGUGGGUAGCGAACAGGAUUAGAUAUCCCUGGUAGUCCACGCCGUAAACGGUGGGUACUAGGUGUGGGUUCCUUUUCACGGGAUCCGUGCCGU
rnacentral:rRNA from 1 species